UACGUAGGGUGCGAGCGUUGUCCGGAAUUAUUGGGCGUAAAGAGCUCGUAGGCGGUUUGUUGCGUCGGCCGUGAAAACCUGCAGCUUAACUGUGGGCCUGCGGCCGAUACGGGCAGACUUGAGUUCGGUAAGGGAGACUGGAAUUCCUGGUGUAGCAGUGAAAUGCGUAGAGAUCAGGAGGAAUACCGAUGGCGAAGGCAGGUCCCUGGGCUGACACUGACGCUCAUGCACGAAAGCGUGGGGAGCAAACAGG
rnacentral:rRNA from 1 species